UACGGAGGGUGCGAGCGUUGUCCGGAAUCACUGGGCGUAAAGGGCGCGUAGGCGGCGCGGAUAGUCGGCGGUGAAAGCCCGGAGCUCAACUCCGGGUCGGCCGUCGAUACUUCCGGGCUUGAGCACUGUAGAGGCAGAUGGAAUUCCGGGUGUAGCGGUGGAAUGCGUAGAGAUCCGGAAGAACACCGGUGGCGAAGGCGGUCUGCUGGGCCAUUACUGACACUGAGAAGCGAAAGCAUGGGGAGCGAACAGG
rnacentral:rRNA from 1 species